rnacentral:sRNA from 1 species
GUGCCUUCCCGGGGUGAGGACGCUGCCAGGCUCCCAGCUCUGGAGUCACCGCCCCGUGCCAGGGGCAAGAGCCCCCAAGGACUGGGAUCAAUACUGGAAACCUGUGCUUUAGUUCUUCCACCUCUGCUGCUGCUAUGCUGUGUGACCUCAGGACUGGGCCCACCGGGAGCACCAUGUGGAGAACAGAGACAAACUGGAGUGCCUUGGGGAGGAAGGAGGAGAGCACAGUCUCUGAGUCAGCCAUGAGGCAGAGCAAAUAUAAGUGGUCAUGCAGGAAGAAGAGUGUGCUGGUUCUGCGGGGUCCCAAGAGGGAGAUGUAUGGGGGUUGUGCUUUGUUCAAUAUGACAACACUACCGAUGGUUUAGUUCUCACUGCAUGAGCUUUACAUUGGUGUAUCUUUCCAGCCUUGACACUAUCCUGCAGGGUAAAACAACUGUCCCCCAUCAUAAAAAAUGAAGGUAACAGUGCAUGUUUUCCCCUCAGCCUGGGACAGCUUCACCAGGCAAAUUCCUGCUCAUUCUCCAGGCCACCUCCCUGGAGAAGUCCUUCCUCAACCCCAAGAACACAUUGAGUUCUCUGUCUUCUGUUCCCAUGGGACCCUGCACUCACCCCUCCUAGCUCUUGCUGUAACAGUAGACACAUGAUUUUGGUGUAAAUAUGGACAGGACAGGAGGCAGGGCUGGACACUGCUACAUGCCCCAGAACAGUGCCUGUCCUAUGGUAUCCAAGGAAUAAUUACCUA